rnacentral:ncRNA from 1 species
AGAUUAAUAAUGAGAACAUGAUGUUGGUUCAGAUUAAGCGCUAACUAAGGACAUUACACAUGCGAAUCAGACGUUAAUAUUAUUAAUUAAUGAUAUUAAUAAGUGGUGAACUCGUGAGUAAAAAAUAAGAAUAAUGAACUUAAAAUUUAACUAAAUAUUAAAUAAUAAAUAAAGAAUAAUGUAAAAAUUAUUUGUUUUAAGUCAAGCUUAUAAUGAUUUAGGUAAUAGUAUUAAAAAAAAUAAAUACUAGCCAGAGAUUCAUAAUUGUUUAUUAAAGUAAGAACAAUCACGUUGAUUUAGAAAUUAUAAUCAAUAUCUAUAUGAUACAGCAGUGGGGAAUAUUGGACAAUGAUCGAAAGAUUGAUCCAGUUACUUAGUAGAAUGAUAAAAUAUAUUAAUAUUUAAUAUAUUAUUGGUUAACAAUAAAAUUCACUAAUUUAUUUAAAUAAUGAUUAAAUAACCUUAAUAUAAAAUUAUUAUAUUUUUUAUAAUAUGAUAAUGAGGUAUAUAUCUUUUUAAGGUAUAUAAUUAAAUAAUCCCAACCAAAAUUUGUGCCAGCAGCUGCGGUAAGACAAAGGGGGUUAGCGUUAAUCGUAAUGGCUUAAAGGGUUCGUAGAAUGAUUAAUAAAUAUUAAUUAGGAUUAAUAUAAAAUAAUUUAAGAAUUAUUCAAGUAAAGAUGAAAUAAUAAUAAUAAGAAUAAGACUUAUAAAGUGAAAAUUUAAAUUAUAUAUUAAUUGACAUUGAGGAACGAAGGCUAGAGUAGCAAAUCGGAUUCGAUACCCGAGUAGUUCUAGCAGUAAACAAUGAAUACCUAUAUUAAUUAUUUAAUAAAAUAUAAUUAAUAUUAAAUGAAAAUUAAAGUAUUCCGCCUGAUGACUACGUUAGCAAUAAUAAAAAUCAAAACAAUAGACGGUUACAGACUUAAGCAGUGGAACAUGUUAUUUAAUUCGAUAAUCCUCGAUAAAUCUUACCAUUUUUUGAAUAUUUAAUAUUUAUAUAUCUAUUAAAAAUAUGUAAAUAUUAAUUACAGGCGUUACAUAGUUGUCUUCAGUUCGUGCUGCAAAGUUUUAGAAUUUAUCAUAAACGAACAUAACUCCAUAUAUAUUUUAUUAAUAAUAUAUUAAUUAAUUAUUUAAUGAAUAAUUAAGAAAGGAAUUAAGACAAAUCAUUAUGAUCCUUAUAAAAUGGGCAAUAGACGUGUUAUAAAAUAAUAUACAAAAUUAUAAUAAUUUAUUAAAAAAAAUAAAGAAUUAAUAAUUAAAAUAUUAUAAAAUUUAAUAAAAUAAUUUAUUAUUAAGUAUGGAUUUUUAACUGAAAUUUGUUAAAAUGAAAUAAGAAUUGCUAGUAAUCAAUUAAUAAGAAAGUAAUGGUGAAUACUCUAACUGUUUCGCACUAAUCACUCAUCACGCGUUGAAACAUAUUAUUAACUAAAGAAUAUAAUUUAUAUUAAUAUUUAUUAUUUAUUAAUAUUAUUUAUUAAUAUUUUAAAUCAUAUUUUAAGUUAAAUUAUGAAUUGAUGCGAAGUUGAAAUACAGUUACUGUAGGGGAACCUGCAGUGGGCUUAUAAAUAUCUAAAAUAUUCCAUUUAUACAUAA